rnacentral:rRNA from 1 species
GCAAACGAUUUUGUACAGUAGAACUGCGAAUGGCUCAUUACAACAGUUAUAGUUUAUUUGAUCGUACGGUAGAAGAGAAGCUACGUGGAUAACCGUAGGAAACUACAGCUAAUACAUGCUCCAUCGCUUUUUUUUACAAUAUCUAAUUGUUUAUAAGAGCGGGAUUUAUUAGAUCAAAAACCAACGCAAAAGAAGCUUUGUUGCUGACUUUGAUAUGGUUUGUAAGGUGAAUCAUAAUAACUUUUCCAAAUCGCAGGGCUUUUUUUUUUAUCUGAAAAAAAUGAGAAAAGCCGGCGGUAAAUCAUUCAAAUUUCUGCCCUAUCAACUUUCGACGGCAGGGUAGUGGCCUACCGUGGUGUUGACGGGUAACGGAGAAUUAGGGUUCGAUUCCGGAGAGGGAGCCUGAGAGAUGGCUACCACAUCCAAGGAAGGCAGCAGGCGCGCAAAUUACCCAAUCCUGAUUCAGGGAGGUAGCGACAGAAAAUAACGAUCGUAGGCCUUUUUUUUAGGUUUAUUGAUUGGAAUGAGGAUAGUUUACACCCCUUCACGAGGAUCCAUUGGAGGGCAAGUCUGGUGCCAGCAGCCGCGGUAAUUCCAGCUCCAAUAGCGUAUACUAAAGUUGUUGCAGUUAAAAAGCUCGUAGUCGAAUCUUGAUGUUUUAUGAAGAGUUUGUAUGUUUUUUCAUUUCUCUUCGUUUGUAAUCAAACGAAGAGAAAUGAAGAAGAUGUGCUUCUUUUCCUUUUUUGAAUAAAAAGACUUUUCUUUUUUUUUUGUUUAUUUCUUUUUAUUUGGAGGAAAUAAACAAAAAAAUUUUUUUACCGUGAGCAAAAUAUGGUGUUCAUGGCAGGCAUUUUUUUGUUGCUUAUAUAUUUUAGCAUGGAAUAAUAGAAUAAGACGUUUGGUUUUAUUUUUUGUUGGGAAAACUUAUAUGUUUUUUUAGAGCCAAAGUAAUGAUUAAUAGGAAUAGUUGGGGGCAUUCGUAUUCCGUAGCUAGAGGUGAAAUUCUUGGAUUUACGGAAGACGGACGACUGCGAAAGCAUUUGCCAAGGAUGUUUUCAUUGAUCAAGAACGAAAGUUAAGGGAUCGAAGACGAUUAGAUACCGUCGUAGUCUUAACUAUAAACUAUGCCGACUAGAGAUUGGUAGAUGUAUUAAUACGACUCUAUCAGUAUCUUUAUGAGAAAUCAAAGUCUCUGGGUUCUGGGGGGAGUAUGGUCGUAAGGCUGAAACUUAAAGGAAUUGACGGAAGGGCACCACCAGGCGUGGAGCUUGCGGCUUAAUUUGACUCAACACGGGGAAACUUACCAGGUCCGGACAUAGGAAGGAUUGACAGAUUGAGAGCUCUUUCUUGAUUCUAUGAGUGGUGGUGCAUGGCCGUUCUUAGUUGGUGGAGUGAUUUGUCUGGUUAAUUCCGUUAACGAACGAGACCUUAGCUUACUAAUUAAGCAUUUUUCUUUACGUAUAGUUUACUAUAUUGUAGUGAUUUGUGUUCUUUUUUUAGAAGGACGAUUUGCGAAUAGCAAAUGGAAGAAUAAGGCAAUAACAGGUCUGUGAUGCCCUUAGAUGUUCUGGGCCGCACGCGCGCUACAAUGAUGCAAACAACGAGUUUUGUUCCUGUACCGAAAGGUUUAGGAAAUCUUGUAAUCUGCAUCGUGAUAGGGAUAGACGAUUGGAAUUAUUUGUCUUGAACGAGGAAUGCCUUGUAAGCGUGAGUCAUCAACUCGCGCUGAAUACGUCCCUGCCCUUUGUACACACCGCCCGUCGCUCCUACUGAUUGGAUGAUCCGGUGAAAUGUUCUUUGUAUGCUCUUUUUUUUCUUUUUUCUUAUCAUCGAAAGAAAAGAAAAGAAAAGAAAUACGCGAUGUUGUGGUUGCAAGAUUGUAUGUUUCUUUGUAUGCUUUUUUUUUCUCAGAUGAAAAAAGAAAAAAAGAAAAAAGACAGAAGAAGUUCAGUGAACCUUAUCAUCUAGAGGAAGGAGAAGUCGUAACAA